ensembl:lncRNA
UUCGUACAUAAUUAUUUUAGUUUUAACAAAGAAAUCAACAAUAUUUGUGUUUCAAUCAAUCACAGCAUUCAAUGGCAAAGGGUUUCACAGAAACUCAGACUAAUUCUUUUAAUUUACUUCAGUAGGAAAAAUAAAAAGCUGAAAAUACUUCUCAACUGGCCUUGUUUUGAUGUCCUGCUUUUCCGUUUGCGUUAAAUAUGUUGUGUCUCUCCAAUGAUUUCUAAAUGUAACUCCUUGUCACACUGCAGCUAAUAAACAGAACAUAUGUUCAUUCUUAUGUUCCGGAGAUAAUUAUUAAAUGAACAAUUAAUCUUUUGUUUUUGAGGUUAGGAGAGGUAACUACUCUAAGAGUUCAGGUUCUUUUUAAAAUGAAAUUAUCUGUUUUCUAGUAUGAAGAUCCUAAUGCUUGUUCAUGCCUGGUUAUCUGUAGAGUAAGGAUGAAAACUCUCAUUGGAAGCAUAAUGCUGGAAUACUUGGAUAGGCAGCGUAAUUUUAAACCACUAAAUUUGUGGUAAUCUGUUAUAGCAGCAAUAGGAAACCAAUACAGACACCGUUCAAAAGAUGAUUGUAAAGCUGUCACACUGUGGGCUUUGAAAGCAAAUUUGCUGCCUUUUCUUCCUCUGUUAUGAUAUCAUACGCUUGUUUCCACUAGCAGUAAUGCACACUGGGGUUGCCAUUGUUAAUCUUGAAAUUGUACUUUGCCAGUUAAAGACAUGAGACCUUUGGCCUCUUCUUCAUUCCUAGGGUGUCCAGUGGGUGGCCUGUGAUGUCUCCCUGCUAACGCUAGACGAUAUUUCAUCCUAUCUAACAAGCACUCUGCUCAGAUGGUCGUCUGUGCAAGUGCCACAAGGAAAGCUCCCAUGGGACCCAGAAAAGUAUUCAUUUUCCAAAGAGAAUUAAAACCCACAUUGAUAGCAUAUAAAACAAGAAUGCUUUAAAAUGUGAAGAGUGAUGAGGUUAUUUCACCCUUAAGUUAUAUUUCUAGGAAAAAGCAGAAUUUAAAUCUUAAGAGAUCUGUGUGCCCAAUUGACACUUCAAAGAAAGAGAAACCCAGCUAAUGAAAUGUAACCUAACAUCCUUCCCCAGCUUCUGUAUUCCCCAGAUUGCUACCCUUUUCCAAUUAACUUUUCCAUUCUUCUGCUAAUUAUCUGAUCUAGAAGCUUUGGAGUGAUAUUUUUCCUCCCUCUGAUUCAGCCCUUAGAAGACAUUCUCCUCUCAUCUUCGUUUUCUUUGGGGACCCUGUUUCUCAGCAUUAAUACGCAUGCGCCUAACACAGCUCUGUAUGCAGCAGCUGGCUCACAGGUUGGAGCAUGGAUUCGUUCUAUCCAGUCUGCAUCUCUUUCUGCCUGCACUUCCACACCACUCACUCCACACUCUACACAGCUCCCUGUUGCUUCCACCUGAAGUGUAAAUCCUUCUACUUAGUUUUCAAGGCCUAACUAUCCAGCUUUGCUCCCCAUGCCUCUCCACAUUCCUUCCUUCUUUCAGACGGCCAGGCAAUUUCCAUGGAUUCAUAAAAUUCAGUUUCCUCUUUUCUUGGUAACUCAGAAGAAAGGAACAGAACUGAAUCAGACGUUGACCCCUUUGACAAAUAUAUAGCUUUGUGGGGAUGGGGUAUGGGGAGACAAAUACAAAAGCUAGUUGGGGUUUUAGGUACUAUUGCAAAUGAGUUCUGUGAGCACGCCAAGAGGGGCUAAAAGAUCUUCAGGUGAGGGCACGGUAGGAAAGGCUUUGAUGAGUAGGAGAUAAUAGGAAAAUGAGUUGUCAUUUUGAGUACAGACUUUUCUUUCUUUUUUUUUUUUUUUCAUUUUGCAACGUGGCAUGUGGGAUCUUAGUUCCAAACCAGGGAUUGAACCUGUGCCCCCCUGUAAUGGAAGUGUAGAGUCUUCACCACUGAACCACUGGGGAAGUCUGAGAGCUAUUAUCUAGAACAUUAUGUGAUGUAGAUUCUAUUAAUUUUCAUGCAAAUAACGUGAUAAUGUUACCUACCCUUUCAAGUCAGACCCUAAUAAAGAUCUUCCUGCCCUGUGUCACUUGCACCAAUAGAAUGAGACAGAGUUCAGUUCAGAAGCAAAAGAAUGUUUUGUUUUUUGGUCAGAGAAUGAAGAGGUAUGGACUCACACUCAAGAGCACACACACUCUCCCCUCCAGGACAGGUUGUGGUUGGUGCUGCUUCUUAGAGUUCCCCUUCUGGGGAAGGAGGGUAGAGUUCUCGCAAAACGGACAGGCUGAAAGCAGUAUCUCCAAACCCCUGCCAUCUUGAAUCACAACAUCUUGUGAGAAGCUUCUGCACACGGUCCCCAAGCUGAGGUGUCGAGUGGUGCUGUUUGAUGCCAGGAACUAUGGUCUGAAGGGUUUUGUGCGAGGCCUCUGCGCGCAGUAUCCUGUGAGCAAGUGAAACUUGGUGUUAUACCUUAUCACCUGGAUUCCGUCUUAUUUUUCCUGGAGGCCUCAGGGGGCUUCGCCUGUGACACGAGAGAAACCAGGCUAUUUCCAUGUGUGGCACCUGGAGAGGUGAGAGCGGAAGACAUUGUACCUGACCAUGCUGCCUGCAGGGAGCGCUGAGGAGUGUGUGUGUGCUCUACAGAAAAGGAGGACCUGUACCAGCUUCCUGCCAGAUCCAGUCCAGGCCAAAGGGACUUCAUUGCAAUGCCAUGCCAAGAGUGGGCAGCAAGAAAUGGAGCCACAGCUGAAGGAGCUGACCAGGCCUUCUCCAGACUGUCCAAACAGGGCAGUUCUUGCCACCCUGGAGCUGGGAAUUGUAGAGCCAACAAUAAACUGACAAGGUCCGGCACAAUCAGAGUAAGUGAGUCUGCACCUGGCAACGUUUGUCUGUGGAAUUCAGUUUCCUACACUAUGUGUCUUACCCCGGCACUAAUACUAUCAUUUAAAAAAUGAGAACAAGAGCUAGGCCAAAGGCAGAGUUGGUUAGGCCAUAAAUAAUCUCAUGUUCGAAGCAAUUUAUGCAGCUGCCUGGUGAGCCAGCCCGAGAGGCUGGCAUACGCGGCCGCUGUGUGUAAG